rnacentral:rRNA from 1 species
GGCUGUCCGCAGCUGGAGUAUUUUAUUACCCUUGUCUUUUGCGCACUUGUUGUUUCCUGGGCGGGUUCGCUCGCCACCAGGACCACCAAAUAAACCUUUUUUAUGCAGUUGCAAUCAGCGUCAGUACAAACAAUGUAAAUCAUUUACAACUUUCAACAACGGAUCUCUUGGUUCUGGCAUCGAUGAAGAACGCAGCGAAAUGCGAUACGUAGUGUGAAUUGCAGAAUUCAGUGAAUCAUCGAAUCUUUGAACGCACAUUGCGCCCUUUGGUAUUCCAAAGGGCAUGCCUGUUCGAGCGUCAUUUGUACCCUCAAGCUUUGCUUGGUGUUGGGCGUUUUUGUCUUUGGUCGCCCAAAGACUCGCCUUAAAGUGAUUGGCAGCCGGCCUUUCUGGUUUCGCAGCGCAGCACAUUUUUGCGCUUGCCAUCAGCAAAACGGCAAUCCAUCAAGCCUCCUUCUCACGUUUGACCUCGGAUCAGGUAGGGAUACCCGCUGAACUUAAGCAUAU